rnacentral:rRNA from 1 species
UACUGCUAUCAGUGUUCGAUUAAGCCAUGCGAGUUAAAUGUUCUUCGUGAACAUGGCGUACUGCUCAGUAACACGUGGAUAACCUGCCCUAAGGUCCGGCAUAACCCCGGGAAACUGGGGAUAAUACCGGAUAAACCAUAGAUACUGGAAUGUUCUGUGGUUAAAAGUUCCGGCGCCUUAGGAUGGAUCUGCGGCCUAUCAGGUAGUAGUGGGUGUAAAGUACCUACUAGCCGACGACGGGUACGGGUUGUGAGAGCAAGAGCCCGGAGAUGGAUUCUGAGACAUGAAUCCAGGCCCUACGGGGCGCAGCAGGCGCGAAACCUUUACAAUGCGGGAAACCGCGAUAAGGGGACACUGAGUGCCAGCAUAUUAUGUUGGCUGUCCACCUGUAUAAAUCACAGGUGUUAGCAAGGGCCGGGCAAGACCGGUGCCAGCCGCCGCGGUAACACCGGCGGCCCGAGUGGUAGCCACUAUUAUUGGGUCUAAAGGGUCCGUAGCCGGUUUGAUCAGUCUUCCGGGAAAUCUGACAGCUCAACUGUUAGGC